GACGUAGGGGCCGAGCGUUGUCCGGAGUUACUGGGCGUAAAGGGCGCGCAGGCGGUUGGUCACAUCGGCGGUGAAAGCCCCCCGCUCAACGGGGGAGGGUCCGUCGAGAUGGGCCGACUGGAGGCAGGGAGAGGGCGGUGGAAUUCCGGGUGUAGUGGUGAAAUGCGUAGAUAUCCGGAGGAACACCAGUGGCGAAGGCG
rnacentral:rRNA from 1 species